ACGAACGCUGGCGGCACGCUUAACACAUGCAAGUCGAACGAGAGAAGAGAAGCUUGCUUUUCUGAUCUAGUGGCGGACGGGUGAGUAACACGUGAGCAAUCUGCCUUUCAGAGGGGGAUACCGAUUGGAAACGAUCGUUAAUACCGCAUAACAUAAUUGAACCGCAUGAUUUGAUUAUCAAAGAUUUAUCGCUGAAAGAUGAGCUCGCGUCUGAUUAGCUAGUUGGUAAGGUAACGGCUUACCAAGGCGACGAUCAGUAGCCGGACUGAGAGGUUGAUCGGCCACAUUGGGACUGAGACACGGCCCAGACUCCUACGGGAGGCAGCAGUGGGGAAUAUUGCACAAUGGAGGAAACUCUGAUGCAGCGAUGCCGCGUGAGGGAAGAAGGUUUUAGGAUUGUAAACCUCUGUCUUCAGGGACGAAAAAAGACGGUACCUGAGGAGGAAGCUCCGGCUAACUACGUGCCAGCAGCCGCGGUAAUACGUAGGGAGCGAGCGUUGUCCGGAAUUACUGGGUGUAAAGGGAGCGUAGGCGGGAUCGCAAGUCAGAUGUGAAAACUAUGGGCUUAACCCAUAAACUGCAUUUGAAACUGUGGUUCUUGAGUGAAGUAGAGGUAAGCGGAAUUCCUAGUGUAGCGGUGAAAUGCGUAGAUAUUAGGAGGAACAUCAGUGGCGAAGGCGGCUUACUGGGCUUUAACUGACGCUGAGGCUCGAAAGCGUGGGGAGCAAACAGGAUUAGAUACCCUGGUAGUCCACGCCGUAAACGAUGAUUACUAGGUGUGGGGGGACUGACCCCUUCCGUGCCGCAGCAAACGCAAUAAGUAAUCCACCUGGGGAGUACGACCGCAAGGUUGAAACUCAAAGGAAUUGACGGGGGCCCGCACAAGCAGUGGAGUAUGUGGAUUAAUUCGAAGCAACGCGAAGAACCUUACCAGGUCUUGACAUCGUAUGCAUAGCUCAGAUAUGAGUGAAAUCUCUUCGGAGACAUAUAGACAGGUGGUGCAUGGUUGUCGUCAGCUCGUGUCGUGAGAUGUUGGGUUAAGUCCCGCAACGAGCGCAACCCUUACUGUUAGUUGCUACGCAAGAGCACUCUAGCAGGACUGCCGUUGACAAAACGGAGGAAGGUGGGGAUGACGUCAAAUCAUCAUGCCCCUUAUGACCUGGGCCUCACACGUACUACAAUGGCUGUUAACAGAGGGAUGCAAAGCCGCGAGGUGGAGCGAACCCCUAAAAGCAGUCUUAGUUCGGAUUGUAGGCUGCAACCCGCCUACAUGAAGUCGGAAUUGCUAGUAAUCGCAGAUCAGCAUGCUGCGGUGAAUACGUUCCCGGGCCUUGUACACACCGCCCGUCACGCCAUGGGAGUCGGUAACACCCGAAGCCUGUAGUCUAACCGCAAGGAGGACGCAGUCGAAGGUGGGAUUGAUGACUGGGGUG
rnacentral:rRNA from 1 species